rnacentral:lncRNA from 1 species
UCAGUCCUGAUACUCACAUAUAACGUCAUCUCCUGAUCUCAUCACAUGCGAUUAUGCUGCUGUGAUCCCCCUCCUGAGUUAUGGUAUUUAACUGUAUGUUCUGAUGUUUACGUCUUCCUGGAUUUCCUGCAUGUGUGUGUCUGACUUCAAGAUUCCUCGGUUAAGACUCUUAUUGACAUUUCUCAAGAAAUACAUGAGACAUGACAGAGGUUUGUCCUGGAUAAGUCUACCAGCAUUAGGACUGAAUCGUGCAGAAGCGCUCUAUGGAUCUUUCUUGAGAAUGAAUAAUGCAGUACGGGCCAUACCUGUCCUGCCCCCGGGAAAGACCUCGAGAACUCUCUCAUUCAACCCAUUUAUUCCUGCCCUCCGAGAAAUCACCCUUUCAAACCCGUACCUCUAAACUAUAUUUUAAAGCUGUAUUAGUGAAAUUUUCUCUCAGUAGAUCUGAGAUGCAAAGGAAAAGACCUUUGCCUUUCCAAUUUCUUUGAUGUUUGUUCAUUUCAGUAGCUUGUGACACGUUUCAUU